UAUUUUUUUACAGUUUUUGCCAAUAAAUUUUACAGUGUUUUCCCUGUUUUUUUAAAUUACAGAAAUGUUUUAAUAAAAUUACAAAAAAAAACCUGUUUAUUGACAUGUGUAACGUAAUUUAACAGAGAAACUUUGUAUAAAUGGAAUACAGUAUAUAUCUGUUUUUAAACAUAUUUUCAAUGAUAAUUUUAACGAAACUAACUGUAAAAAUAAAGUGAUUUUUUUAUUAACCUGCUGGCCUCUUUUAACACGUGAAAUACUGUAACAACUGUGUUAAUUUCUAACACCCCUUAGCUUGUCACAGAUUAUCAGAGAUCUGUUAGAAAUCGAGAUAUCCUAGUUAAAAGUAUAUCUAUCGACUUGUGUUAAGCAGGCCUCUUCUUUUUUUUGUUUUUAAAACCCAUCUUUUCUCUUUGGCUUUUGACACCUAAGAUGUCGACUUUAUUUGCUUGUUUUAAUUUGUUACUUUGAAUGCUUUUAUUGUGUGCAUAUUAAUUGUACUUAUGUUUAUUUUUCUGUACAGCACUUUGGACAACACUUUAGUUGUUGUAAAGUGCUUAACAAAUAAAGUUGGUAUGGUAUGGUAAGUUUAGCUGUUUUAAAAAAAGACCGUUGCAAUUUAAAUAAUAAGCUACGAAAACCAAUGCAAAAGACAAAUCACCAACCUCUGUGUUCAGCAAAUCAUUUUCACGGCAAUAAUUAUCUAAGCCAAUCAGAAUUGACACCUCUGCUACGUUGGUGGCGCACGCAGAAAGAAGCGCGCGACAUGAUGAAGAGUGAAGACGGCGGCGCGCUGGUGAACUAUUCUGUUGUUUUCGAGGAAGCAACAGUUGUGAGAGUUUUUUGAUUCAAUACCAGGAAUUGGAACAAUAGCUAUCUGGAACUUCUGGAACUGAGAUCAGUCAGAAGCCUUCAAGCUCAAACAUUAAAUGCCUUUUCCGGAUAAAUCCAGAUAGGGGGACCAAAGUGGAGAAGCAGUAAAAAACAGCAGUCCAUAAAUCCUACGGUUCUUUCUUUGAUUACAAACAUUGCAGACUUUGAAUGGCGAGAGUAGACAUCUCACAUGCCAGCUUCUUUCUGUUUCAUACAUUUCCAUUUAGUUUAUAGACUAUUCUGUAAUGUGUAAAGGGUUCAUUCUGCUUGUAUUUUGUGGCUGACUGUUAUCUUGAGUGAGUUGCAGCCUUUUAACCACACGUUUUAAAUUGUGUACAUUUCAAAGUACAGGGUUAAAAAAAAGCUCACAGUAAAGACCAGAAGUUUUAACCAGUGGGGAGAACCAGUUUCAUAAAAAAAAAAAUGUGUGUGUGUGUAUAUAUAUAUAUAUAUAAUGCUGCUAAACGAUGCUUUGUUAAAUGUUGAUCACAGGAUGUAUUUGCAGAUAACAAAUAAAACAAAAUUAAGAUUACUGGUGUUUUUUUUAUUAUUAAAGCAAAUCUUAGUUAUUUUUGCAGUUUAAACUGCUUAAAGUUGAACUUAAAGUUAAGUAAAUGAUGACAACUUUAUUUUGGGGAACUAUCCCUUUAGAUAUGUCUGUCACCUCUCUAGCUCAAGUUAAAUACUUUUUAUAUGGCUCAUCAGAAUUGCUGAUUAUGAUCUUUUAAACUUUUUUUUUUAUCAUUCUUUAAAUAAUUUUUCUGUGUUUGAAUAUUUUAACAAUGUAUGUUAACAUACAUUUUAACAAUGUAUGUUAAAAUGAAAAGAUUUCAUGGUAUUAUAAGGAUAUUUUUGUGUAGAAUAACAGUAAUAAACCGUAAUUAUAGGAAAAGAAAUGACCGUUUUUUUACAGUAUAUGUUAUUUGUACUUAACUUUUUUUUAAAGACAAUUUUCUGUUUUAGAGGUGUAUGACUGUUUUAACAAUUAAUUUGUUAAAAUUAAAAGAUUUCAUGGUUUUAUAAGGAUAUGUUUGUGUAGAAUAACAGUAAUAAACCGUAAUUAUAGGAAAAGAAAUUACCAUUUUUUUACAGUGUUAU